rnacentral:antisense_RNA from 1 species
CUCUAUGGCGGGCCGUGGUGGGAGAGCCUUCGGGCUCGCCGGUUCCGUUGGUCCGGUACGCCAAUCCUGCCAUGCGCCUGCCACCCCC